UAGGGAAUCUUCCACAAUGGGCGCAAGCCUGAUGGAGCAACGCCGCGUGAGUGAAGAAGGUCUUCGGAUCGUAAAACUCUGUUGUUAGAGAAGAACAUGCAGGAGAGUAACUGUUCUUGUACUGACGGUAUCUAACCAGAAAGCCACGGCUAACUACGUGCCAG
rnacentral:rRNA from 1 species